GGAUAAUCUGUGCCAUUGGCAAAGAGAGUUUUCGGUGCCACAAAGCGAUAGGUGGGCACACCCUUGAAUUUCCCCGACUGCUCGUACACCAGUGUCAUGGAUCUGCAGGCAUCGGGGCUGUAGAACUCCAGCGAUGUUGGGGACAUAUACGGUGGCCACAUCUCCCCUGCAGUCCCAUUGAUCAUGUUGCACUCAUUGGUCCGCCAGUAGUUCACCUUUUUCAAGCCAUUCCAUGAAUCCACCAUAUGAACUUGACUGAUGUUCUUCAUGCCUGUGUUCACUGUGAACAAUCCAGAAUUGGUGUUGUUAAACUCUAUAAAUAUGCCAAAUUUCCCCUUGUAUGGGAUCAGGCCAGGGACAAGGGCAUUUAUGGUGUCUAAAAGAGGGUCUUCAUAGCCCCACAAGAUCUCCC
rnacentral:lncRNA from 1 species